rnacentral:rRNA from 1 species
AUUGAACGCUGGCGGCAGGCCUAACACAUGCAAGUCGAGCGGAUGAGUGGAGCUUGCUCCAUGAUUCAGCGGCGGACGGGUGAGUAAUGCCUAGGAAUCUGCCUGGUAGUGGGGGACAACGUUUCGAAAGGAACGCUAAUACCGCAUACGUCCUACGGGAGAAAGCAGGGGACCUUCGGGCCUUGCGCUAUCAGAUGAGCCUAGGUCGGAUUAGCUAGUUGGUGAGGUAAAGGCUCACCAAGGCGACGAUCCGUAACUGGUCUGAGAGGAUGACCAGCCA